UGCGUAGGUGGUUUGAUAGGUCAGAGGUGAAAGCCCACCGCUUAACGGUGGAAUUGCCUUUGAUACUGUCAGACUUGAAUAAGGUUGAGGUCGGCGGAAUGUGUCAUGUAGCGGUGAAAUGCAUAGAUAUGACAUAGAACACCAAUUGCGAAGGCAGCUGGCUAGACCUUUAUUGACACUGAGGCACGAAAGCGUGGGGAGCGAACAGGAUUAGAUACCCUGGUAGUCC
rnacentral:rRNA from 1 species